UGGGGAAUAUUGCACAAUGGGCGCAAGCCUGAUGCAGCCAUGCCGCGUGUGUGAAGAAGGCCUUCGGGUUGUAAAGCACUUUCAGCGAGGAGGAAGGUGGUGAACUUAAUACGUUCAUCAAUUGACGUUACUCGCAGAAGAAGCACCGGCUAACUCCGUGCCAGCAGCCGCGGUAAUACGGAGGGUGCAAGCGUUAAUCGGAAUUACUGGGCGUAAAGCGCACGCAGGCGGUUUGUUAAGUCAGAUGUGAAAUCCCCGGGCUCAACCUGGGAACUGCAUUUGAAACUGGCAAGCUAGAGUCUCGUAGAGGGGGGUAGAAUUCCAGGUGUAGCGGUGAAAUGCGUAGAGAUCUGGAGGAAUACCGGUGGCGAAGGCGGCCCCCUGGACGAAGACUGACGCUCAGGUGCGAAAGCGUGGGGCAGCAAACAGGAUUAGAUACCCUGGUAGUCCACGCUGUAAACGAUGUCGAUUUGGAGGUUGUGCCCUUGAGGCGUGGCUUCCGGAGCUAACG
rnacentral:rRNA from 1 species